rnacentral:rRNA from 1 species
AGGGCGCACGGUGGAUGCCUUGGCACUAGAAGCCGAUGAAGGACGUUACUAACGACGAUAUGCUUUGGGGAGCUGUAAGUAAGCUUUGAUCCAGAGAUUUCCGAAUGGGGAAACCCAGCAUGAGUUAUGUCAUGUUAUCGAUAUGUGAAUACAUAGCAUAUCAGAAGGCACACCCGGAGAACUGAAACAUCUUAGUACCCGGAGGAAGAGAAAGAAAAUUCGAUUCCCUUAGUAGCGGCGAGCGAAACGGGAAGAGCCCAAACCAACAAGCUUGCUUGUUGGGGUUGUAGGACACUCUAUACGGAGUUACAAAGGACGACAUUAGACGAAUCAUCUGGAAAGAUGAAUCAAAGAAGGUAAUAAUCCUGUAGUCGAAAAUGUUGUCUCUCUUGAGUGGAUCCUGAGUACGACGGAGCACGUGAAAUUCCGUCGGAAUCUGGGAGGACCAUCUCCUAAGGCUAAAUACUCUCUAGUGACCGAUAGUGAACCAGUACCGUGAGGGAAAGGUGAAAAGCACCCCGGAAGGGGAGUGAAAUAGAACCUGAAACCGUGUGCUUACAAGUAGUCAGAGCCCGUUAAUGGGUGAUGGCGUGCCUUUUGUAGAAUGAACCGGCGAGUUACGAUUUGAUGCAAGGUUAAGCAGUAAAUGUGGAGCCGUAGCGAAAGCGAGUCUGAAUAGGGCGUUUAGUAUUUGGUCGUAGACCCGAAACCAGGUGAUCUACCCUUGGUCAGGUUGAAGUUCAGGUAACACUGAAUGGAGGACCGAACCGACUUACGUUGAAAAGUGAGCGGAUGAACUGAGGGUAGCGGAGAAAUUCCAAUCGAACCUGGAGAUAGCUGGUUCUCUCCGAAAUAGCUUUAGGGCUAGCCUCAAGUGAUGAUUAUUGGAGGUAGAGCACUGUUUGGACGAGGGGCCCCUCUCGGGUUACCGAAUUCAGACAAACUCCGAAUGCCAAUUAAUUUAACUUGGGAGUCAGAACAUGGGUGAUAAGGUCCGUGUUCGAAAGGGAAACAGCCCAGACCACCAGCUAAGGUCCCAAAAUAUAUGUUAAGUGGAAAAGGAUGUGGCGUUGCCCAGACAACUAGGAUGUUGGCUUAGAAGCAGCCAUCAUUUAAAGAGUGCGUAAUAGCUCACUAGUCGAGUGACACUGCGCCGAAAAUGUACCGGGGCUAAACAUAUUACCGAAGCUGUGGAUUGUCCUUUGGACAAUGGUAGGAGAGCGUUCUAAGGGCGUUGAAGCAUGAUCGUAAGGACAUGUGGAGCGCUUAGAAGUGAGAAUGCCGGUGUGAGUAGCGAAAGACGGGUGAGAAUCCCGUCCACCGAUUGACUAAGGUUUCCAGAGGAAGGCUCGUCCGCUCUGGGUUAGUCGGGUCCUAAGCUGAGGCCGACAGGCGUAGGCGAUGGAUAACAGGUUGAUAUUCCUGUACCACCUAUAAUCGUUUUAAUCGAUGGGGGGACGCAGUAGGAUAGGCGAAGCGUGCGAUUGGAUUGCACGUCUAAGCAGUAAGGCUGAGUAUUAGGCAAAUCCGGUACUCGUUAAGGCUGAGCUGUGAUGGGGAGAAGACAUUGAGUCUUCGAGUCGUUGAUUUCACACUGCCGAGAAAAGCCUCUAGAUAGAAAAUAGGUGCCCGUACCGCAAACCGACACAGGUAGUCAAGAUGAGAAUUCUAAGGUGAGCGAGCGAACUCUCGUUAAGGAACUCGGCAAAAUGACCCCGUAACUUCGGGAGAAGGGGUGCUCUUUAGGGUUAACGCCCAGAAGAGCCGCAGUGAAUAGGCCCAAGCGACUGUUUAUCAAAAACACAGGUCUCUGCUAAACCGUAAGGUGAUGUAUAGGGGCUGACGCCUGCCCGGUGCUGGAAGGUUAAGAGGAGUGGUUAGCUUCUGCGAAGCUACGAAUCGAAGCCCCAGUAAACGGCGGCCGUAACUAUAACGGUCCUAAGGUAGCGAAAUUCCUUGUCGGGUAAGUUCCGACCCGCACGAAAGGCGUAACGAUUUGGGCACUGUCUCAACGAGAGACUCGGUGAAAUCAUAGUACCUGUGAAGAUGCAGGUUACCCGCGACAGGACGGAAAGACCCCGUGGAGCUUUACUGUAGCCUGAUAUUGAAAUUCGGCACAGCUUGUACAGGAUAGGUAGGAGCCUUUGAAACGUGAGCGCUAGCUUACGUGGAGGCGCUGGUGGGAUACUACCCUAGCUGUGUUGGCUUUCUAACCCGCACCACUUAUCGUGGUGGGAGACAGUGUCAGGCGGGCAGUUUGACUGGGGCGGUCGCCUCCUAAAAGGUAACGGAGGCGCUCAAAGGUUCCCUCAGAAUGG